rnacentral:rRNA from 1 species
GAUGAACGCUGGCGGCGUGCCUAAUACAUGCAAGUCGAGCGAACGGACGAGAAGCUUGCUGCUCUCAUGUUAGCGGCGGAUGGGUGAGUAACACGUGGGUAACCUACCUAUAAGACUGGGAUAGCGUCGGGAAACCGGAUCUAACAUACGAUAAGAUUUUGAACCGCAUGGUUCAAAAGUGAAAGACGGAUUUGCUGUCCCUAUUAGAUGGAUCGAUGUUGCAUUAGGUAGUUGGUAAGGUAACGGCCUACCAAGGCGACGAUGCGUAGCCGACCUGAGAGGACGACCAGCCACACUGGGACUGAGACACGGUCCAGACUCCUACGGGAGGCAGCAGUAGGGAAUUUUCGGCAAUGGGCGAAAGCCUGACGGAGCCAUGCCGCGUGAAGGACGAAGGUCUUCGGGUCGUAAACCGCUGUUGUAUGGGAAGAACAUGUGCGUACGUAACUGUGCGCCUCUUGACGGUACCGAAACAGAAAGCCACGGCUAACUACGUG